CCCUUAGAUGUUCUGGGCCGCACGCGCGCUACACUGACUGCUCCAACAAGUUACCUGGGCUGACAAGCAUCCGGGAAAUCUUGCAAAGGCAGUCGUGAUGGGGAUAGAUUCUUGUAAUUUUUGAUCUUCAACGAGGAAUUCCUAGUAAACGCAAGUCAUCAGCUUGCAUUGAUUACGUCCCUGCCCUUUGUACACACCGCCCGUCGCUCCUACCGAUUGAAUGGUCCGGUGAAGCGUUCGGACCGUGGCCUUUGGACGGUUCGCCGUCUGUUGGCUGCGGGAAGUUCGUUAAACCUUAUCAUUUAGAGGAAGGAGAAGUCGUAACA
rnacentral:rRNA from 1 species